GAACGCACCUUGCACCCUUUGGUAUUCCGAAGGGUAUGCUCGUUUGAGUGUCAUUGUACUCUCACACUCUCUGAUCCUUUGGGAUUCGGGGAGCGGUGGACUUGGGUGUUUGCUGCUUUCCUUGUGGCUCACCUCAAAUGCGUCAGUGCACCUCUUGGUUGGACAUAGUACGGCGUGAUAAGUGUCUUCGCCGGCACCUCGCAAGAGGGUGGUCAAUUGGGAGCUCUGUGCUUUCAAACCGUCUUCGGACAAUAUCUGACAACUUGACCUCAAAUCGAGUAGGACUACCCGCUGAACUUAAG
rnacentral:misc_RNA from 1 species